GAAUCUUAGUAGCUGAAGGCUAACUUUCAUGCUUCUGUGCAUUUUUCUGGGGAGAGGUUUAUCAGAUAUGUGAAGAGGCCACGACUCCCAAGAGACUAAGGCAGACAAAAAGAACUCUGGCUUCUGGCUCUUGGCUCGGGAGGCACAGAGAGAAGGGGAGCUUAUCCAAAUCAGAAUUCCAGAAGCUGCAGGCUUUCCCUGUGGAAAGAACUGUCCUGUGGUACCCACUGCAGCCGGGAAGUGUGCUUGCCUCUGGGGGGUCCCCGCACCUGGCUGGAGAAGGUACCCAGGACCGCAGAUCUUCGCAUCCAAGCAGGGUCCGAAGGCCACUGAGGCAUUUCCCACCCCCAACGGUCGCUCUUCGGAGCAGGGUUUUCUCGAGGAGAGCGUAGCGGCUCCAGCGGAUCAACGCGUCUGGUGGCCCAAGCUCGGCUUCCGAUUUCAUUUAACACAAGCCGCGCAUCUUAUCUCUGCGUCCCCUCCCCGGGGUUCCCACUCCGCCCUCCCUCC
rnacentral:lncRNA from 1 species